AUCGGGACCACGUAGGCCCUACGAAUACGCUGAAUAGUGAUUUUUGGGAUUGUCUGCGGGAAAUUUCAAUUAAAUACCACAUUUACUUUCUCGAGCUUUCCGAUAGCUCGCCACCUCGAUCUUGUGGACAAUGUGUGGAAGUGACAACCGCCCUUUCCAUGAGCCUCCGAAAUUCCCACCUACUGGGUGCUCCUUCCUACCCAUGCGUCGACAAUUAUAUCUGCAAAUUCUGCUCUAGAAAGAUGUGAAAUGUCACAUUUACUAUAAGUGAUUAUAAAGCAAACGUUCUUUACCUUCGGAGUACCCGGCCUUUACCCGCAUGCGAAAGUAACCGGAUGUUCUUUUACUAUGCUAUAAAUUAACAGUAAGUGUGACAUAUCUAGCGUAAAAUAUUCCCGAUACCUAUCUUUAUUGACGGACUAUAACUUCUCAAAUGACCUACGUGUGCU